GUUAGAGAGCAUUGCCCUCGUUCGAUUCCUUCACGGGAUUUCUCACGGUUUUUUUGGGCGUCAACCUAGCAUCAAUGCGUUUUAACUUAGCUAAAAGCCUCGAACUUUCGAGAACCGAGAAGAACAAAUAUUUUUCCUUUUUUUUGGUAAAUGAACUGAGAACGGAUUCAAAAUUCAAAUUUGAACCCAUUCUCUCUCAGGUCUUGAACUCAAUAACUGGUCUCCUUUGCUCUUUCUCCGAUUCUACAUAAAUCUUCACAUUAAAGUUUCAAAUCUCUAUUAGGAUUAGGAUUUGAACCUCUUUUUUAAUUGCUGCUCAUUUCAAAUCUUUUAUUUAGGAUUAGGAUUUUUAUGUGAGCUUGGGGUUUUGAUUUGUGUUUAAAAACUCUUUACUUAAUAAUUCGUGUUGUUAUCUGUUAAUGAUUUUUUUUUCUUUGAUUCUGUAGGUGAGAUGAAAUUAAUUUCAUCUGAUUUAAUUUAGGAAUUUAGGGAAUUGAUUUCAAACAGAAACAUAAGGAUCACAACAUUAAGGAUUCACCUUUUCCAGUUCAUUCACCGAACCAUAGUAGCAUCCUAUCAAGGUGAUGGAGAAACCAUAAGAUGGAAAGACUAGGUGAAUGAAUUACUUUGCUUUUCAGUAUUAUUUUUCGAAACAGCGGUUGGAAUCACAUUUGCAUGAGAUAUGAAGCUCAGAAAGAUGUAACAAUAGUUCCAUAAUGAGAUGUUUAAAGAUGCAUCUGAAUCUGGUGCAUGGCAACAUGAAUUCUGAGGUCUCCUGACUUUCUGUGGGAUCCAGUGGUGCUUUAUAUUCAGCAUAUGGAAUGCUCUUGUUCCAAUGACAGUAGUGUUUAAAAAAUUAAAGCUUACAGUAGUGGUGUUAACCAUCAUCUCUGUGACGGUCCUUCUCAGUAGUAUCAACCUAGGAAAAAUCUUAGAUCAAAACCUAUUACGCAGUUCUACAAAAACCUUCUUCGUAUGCAACUCAAACCAGAAGAUAGUCAACCAUUACCUUCCAGAUUUUCAAAUUCAAAAAUUGCCCCCCCCCCCAAACAGAUCCGUACAUAUUGCUGAGCAUUAAGUUCCUACCUUUUUUGGAGAUAUAUUAUCCCCCAGAAAACCUAUAUCUUGUCAAGCAAAAACUCCGGUCAAUUACUGCAUCAAUAUUUCUUCCUAAUUUAUUGGAUCGACAAUUAUCUCUAUGAGAAAUUCUAUACCCAUUCAAGGAAAGAAGUUAUAAAUAAUGCUACUUGGUAUCAUAACCCUAACUUCCCAUACCUUCGUUUAGUCUUUCCAAAGAAAAUCUCAAAAUGUCUUCGACUAACAAUAACCAUAUCAACCAACUAUCAAGGCAGCUUAGAAGGGAUAACAUUGGUUUACCAGUUAACAGACGAACUGUGGGUUCCUCCCAAGUGGUUAAUCAUGCUGCAGAAGAGUGUAUCUUUGGAGUCUUGGGAAAGCUAAUGCGGAAAGAGAAAAUUCAUAUGAAAACUAUCAGGAAGGAGAUCAAUUCAUUGUGGAGGAACUAUAGAAACAAACAGAUCCAAGUUAUGGGUCACAAUCUCAUGAUGGUAUGCCUGAACUCAGAAGAGGAAAGAGAUGAAGUCAUAAGAAAUGGGUCAUGGAUUAUUGGAGAAGCACUCUUUGUUGUAAAAGAGAUGAGUUCUGAUAACUGAGUAAAGUUUACACAUCAAGUUUUCACUAUUCAGUUUAGUGUGGUGGUGUAUGAAGUUAUAGGUUUUAUGAGAAUCUUCAAGUCCUCCAAACUGCAGACCAAGGUAUGGCACUACAGUCAAAGCGAAAGUGGAUAUGAGCCUCACAGAACCACUGCAUAGAGGAGGAUGGUGCAAAACACAGCCAACAAUGGGAAAGUCUGGAUCCGAUAUCACUGGGAAUUGCAGUCAAAAAAGAUAUGCUCAAAGUGCUUUGUCAUUGAUCAUAAUGACAUCAAAUGCAUGCAUACUUCUCAUCUCUUGUAUCUAGAUACCUUGACAGAGGAAGAAUAUGAAGAAUAUCUGAAGAAUGAAGCGGAUGUCUAUGAAGGAAAUGAUGGAGAAACUACGUACAAAGAUGAAAUGGCAAUUAUCCUAGAACCAUCUAGAAAUGAGGAUGACUCAAGACAAAGAAAAAGAAUGAGGAACUCUGAACUAAACAAUGCACCUCUCAUAAACCCUCAUAACAUUCAUGUUCAACCUCCUAGUACUAGUGACAACACAAAUACUACUAUCUUGGAAAAUCACAAUAACUCGAUGUUAGAAGCUAAUGGAUCAGGAGCAAACACUGCUGAAACCACAGAUCAUAGUCAGGAACAGACCAUGCAGGUAUAUCCAAAACUUUUUAAGCAAGUUACUUUAUACGGUUUUAUUACUUCGUUCUUUUAUAUUUUUCCUGUAGAAACUAUUUUUAUUGCCUCUCUUUAUUUCCCUCCCAAAAUGCGCAUUAUUCUUGUAGUUGCAAUGGUUAUGCUUCUAAAGACACUAAACACUAUCUUUUUGAUAUAAAUAAAAGACUCCAUCCAUAUAUAGUCUUUUUACAAGAAGCAAAAAUCGAUUCCGACAAAAUUCUUCAGCAUGUCAGACCUCUAGGUUUUCCUAAUCACUCUUAUGUUCCCUCAAUAGGUAGAUCUACAGGUAUAUGCCUCUUGUGGAAGGAUGUAUUUCAACUAGAUAUUGUUUAUAAAGAUAGAAACAUGUUUCAUUGUCUUGUUAGAACUGAUCAAGCUAAACCCCAAUGGAUUUUAUCUUACGUCUAUGGUUCUCCGCACCCACAAGGGAAGAGAGGCCAAUGGGAGUUCAUUAAUAGGGUCUGUGACACUUAUAAUAUUGAUGACCCUUGGAUACUCAUUGGUGACUUAAAUUUAAGUAUGCACCCUGAUGAAAGAGCUAAUAAUUUUGGUUCUUCUUCAAGAACCCCUCAUAUAGUUCAGCUGAUCCAUGAUACUGGCUUAUCUGAUUUAGGCUUUCAUGUUAGAGCAUAUACAUGGACUAGUGGCAAGAAUGGAACUGGUAGAAUCAAAUCUAGGAUAGAAAUAGCCAUUAUAAACCCAUAAUAGUUAGUAACCUUCCCCGACAUUGUCCUAAAACAUUUGCCAAUCCUAGGUUCAGACCAUUGCUCUAUCUUCUUGGAUUUUUAUCCCAAUGAGAUUGUUAAGAGUAGACACUGGAAGUUCUUUGAGUGUUGGCUGAGAUAUAAUACUUGUAAGUAUCAAAUUAAUGCAUAUUGGUCCAAUACUGUAAGAGGAUCUGUCGUUUUUAGACUGGAUAAAAAAUUAGAUACAACUAGGAGAGACUUGUCUAAAUAGAACAAGGAACAUUUUGGUAAUAUUCAUGAUAAGGUAAAAAACUUGCAAGAUGAACUAACCUCUUUGCAGCAGUUACCAACAAGUGAAGCUACCACUUCUCAAAUCAGAAAGGUAGAACAUGAUAUUAAUGAAUGGCGUGCACGAGAAGAGAAAUUUUACAGGCAACAGUCAAGAGAUCUUAUGUUUCAUGAGAUAGACCAGAAUACCAAAUACUUCCACCAGCAAACAAAUAGGAGGAAAUCAAGGAAUCGCUUUGAGUCUCUGCUUAAACCAAAUGGUAACUGGUGUUCAGGCAGGGAGGAUCUAGAAAUACUUCUUACAUCUCACUUUACCAAUAUCAAGAGCACAACUGAUCCAGAGACUAAUGCAGACCUCUUUAGCUUCUCCCAAAAUGCAUCACUGCAGCUGAGAAUGCUGUUCUUACAACUAUACCACAAGACCUCUUUAGCUUCUCCCAAAAUGCAUCAUUGCAGCUGAGAAUGUUGUUCUUACAACUAUACCACAAGAAGAUGAAAUAUGUGCAGCUCUUAAAAGUAUGCAGCCUUGGAAAGCAAUGGGACCAGAUGGUUUCCCACACGGCUUUUUUCAAUCACAAUGGAGUACAACGAAGGAAGACGAAGUCCAAAUGAUUCAAAGCUUCUUUGCCAGUGAGAGAAUGCUCUGAAAAAUCAAUCGAACCAACCUCUGCUUGAUACCAAAAGUUCUGAUGCCUCAAUCACCAGGACAAUCGCGUUAUGCAACACAUCAUACAAGCUUAUUACCAAAACAAUGGCGCUGAGAUUAAAACCUUUGAUGGAGAGGUUGAUCUCACUGAUGCAAGCAGCUUACGUACCUGGUAGACAGAUUGGAGAUAACAUUACUCUUGUACAUGAGUUAAUUCAUUUUAUGAGAAGAAAGAAAAAAAAUAAGGGUUUCAAGGAUCUAAAACUCGAUAUGUCCAAGGAGUUCGACCGUGUAGAAUGGUCUUUUCUACGCAGAAUUAUGGAGGGUUUGGUUUGCUGAUCAUUUUUGUAACCUGAUACAAGAAUGCGUUAGCACAAUAGAGAUACAAAUACUUCUCAAUGGAUCACCAUGUAAAGCGUUCAAACCUAGUUGAGGAAUACGGCAAGGUGACCCAUUGUCACCUUACCUGUUUUUUCUCACCAUGGAACUGUUUACAAGGUCAUUAGCCAGAGCUAAAGUUGAAAAGAAAAUUCAGGGCAUCAAGAUUGCAAAAAAUGCACCUCCAAUUUCACAUUUACUCUUUGCAUACGAUUGCUUGUUAUUUGUGAAGGCUGAUCUCCACAAUGCUGAUAACCUGCUACAACUUAUCAAAGAUUUUGGUCUGGCUUCAUAACAGCAAAUACAUUUUCAAAAAUCUACAGUCUUCUUCUCCAAACACCUACACUCAAGACACUGCAGAAUAUUAUUAAGAAGGUUAAAAGAUGAAAAGGAUGUCACUUGAAGAAAAGUACUUGGGAAUUCCAUUGUUUCUCAACAGAAAAAUGACAACAUCUUUCUCCUCACUAGUGGAAGAAAUGAAGACAAGAUUACUAAGAUGGAAUGGUAAGUUUCUGAUACAAUCCGACAGAUCAGUAAUGGUGAAGCAUGUUCUAAAUGCCAUGCCAUCACAACAAAUGGGAGCUUUCAAAAUCCCAAAGAAGACGAUUAAAUAAGUGGAUGUUGUUAAAGAAGAUUUUGGUGGAAGAAGCAAGAAGGGAAGGGUGUUUACUUCAUUUCAUGGGAAAGAGUUAACACUCACAGAGAAAAUGGUGGUCUGGCGUUUCGUGAUCUAGAAUGAUUUAAUAAAUCCCUAUUAGAAAAAUCAGUAUGGAGAUUAUGUCACAGUUCUCAUCAACUCUGGGCAAAUCUUUAAAAGAGAAGAACUUUCCGGAUACUUCAGUCCUAUACUCAAAAAAGAAAAAUAACACGACUUGGGCAUGGAAAAGCAUUCAUGGGGAAGUAGCUUUUGUGCAUAAAUAUAGCUUCUGGUUACUAGGAGAUGGGAAAAAAAAUUUAACGUGGAAAGAUAAUUGGAUCAUAGGAGAACAAGAGCCACCUAGCACAAUAGCGGAAUUCGAUCUGGAAGUUUCUUAUAGUACUGUAAGUGAUCUUAUUGAUAUAAAUACUCAUACCUGGAAAACCAUCGUUCUGCAACAGCUUUUAUCGCCUUCAGAUGUUCUCAAAAUCAUGCGCAUGAAAAUUCCUCAUCACUCUCAAGACGGACUAAUCUGAACACUUACUCGUAAUGGGAAGUUUACGGUUAAGUCUGCUUAUAGGAAAUUGCUGGAGAUAAAGACUAAUGCAGCUGUAACUUAUGAUGCUGAGAUGGUAACUUUUUGGAAACAAUUAUGGGGGCUAAACACUUUACCAAGAAUCAAAACCUUUUUAUAGAAGUGUAUUCAAGAUAUGAUUUCAUCAAGUGAACGUAUGAGAAGAGUAAUGCAAUAUAAUGGGGAAGUCUGUGGCAUGUGUCAGCAAAACAUUGAAACAACUAAGCACAUUAUAUGGGAGUGUGCAUUUUCCCAAGCUGUCUGGACAUCAAUUCCAAGUGCAAGAAGAAGUAUGGAAGAUGCAAACCAAGAUUUUUCUCUAUGGAACAGAAGCUGGUUCACUAAUGAAAUUGCAAAAAUAGAUAGAGAUUGGACAGUAAAGAUGGCAAAUGCCUGCUGGGAAAUCUGGAAAGAAACGUUGUCGCAACGUUUCUGAUGGAAAGAAACCGAACCCACUGGAAAUUAUAAACACUAUACAACAUCUAAACAAUAUGACAGGGAAAGGAAUGAUUAAACAGAGUUGCCUGGAAAACAACAAUAGUUUAAACAUUACUUUACCAGUAGUAUGGUUACGCCUAGUGCACCUUUCUACUCUAUUUGUUGUGAUGCCUCUUUUAAAAAAUAUGAUUCCGGUACUCAUAGCGCCAUUGGACUAAUACUACGGAAUUUUACAAGUACUUUUGAACGAGGAAGCUGCUUCUAUGAGCUUGGAAAAUUAGAUGCGGAACAUGCAGAGAUAGAAGGAUUGCUACACGCUAUACGAUGGGCAGACGAACUCAACUUGCAUCAUGUACGGUUCGAGAUCGAUGCGCAGAAUGUGGUAGAUGCAGCAAACAGAGAUUAUCAAAAAAUCAGAUGGGAAUCUCAUGCUCCCAUUCUAGACAUAAUUGGCUAUUUAAUCAAGUAUCCAACUUGGACUUGUAAUUUUAUUAGUAAGAAAUUAAAUAAGCCAGCAGAUAAACUGGCAAAACACUCUCGUUCUUUUCAAGUUAGUAAGAUAUGGAUACGAUAUCCACCAAAUUUUGUUGCGUCAGUAUUACAUGCUGACAUAAUAAAUGUAACAGACUCCAGCAUUUAAUCAAAUUUUUUU